rnacentral:rRNA from 1 species
GACGAACGCUGGCGGCGUGCUUAACACAUGCAAGUCGAACGGAAAGGCCCUGCUUUUGUGGGGUGCUCGAGUGGCGAACGGGUGAGUAACACGUGAGUAACCUGCCCUUUACUUUGGGAUAACUUCAGGAAACUGGGGCUAAUACCGGAUAGGAGCUCCUGCUGCAUGGGGGGGGUUGGAAAGUUUGGGCGGUUGGGGAUGGACUCGCGGCUUAUCAGCUUGUUGGUGGGGUAGUGGCUUACCAAGGCUUUGACGGGUAGCCGGCCUGAGAGGGUGACCGGCCACAUUGGGACUGAGAUACGGCCCAGACUCCUACGGGAGGCAGCAGUGGGGAAUAUUGCACAAUGGGCGGAAGCCUGAUGCAGCAACGCCGCGUGCGGGAUGACGGCCUUCGGGUUGUAAACCGCUUUCGCCUGGGACGAAGCGUGAGUGACGGUAAUGGGUAAAGAAGCACCGGCUAACUACGUG